rnacentral:rRNA from 1 species
UACGUAGGUGGCGAGCGUUGUCCGGAAUUACUGGGUGUAAAGCGCGUGUAGGCGGGAGGCCAAGUCUGCGGUGAAAUCGCUCGGCUCAACUGGGCGGGGUCCGUGGAAACUGGUCACCUGGAGGACGGUAGAGGCGAGUGGAAUUCCCGGUGUAGUGGUGAAAUGCGUAGAGAUCGGGAGGAACACCAGUGGCGAAGGCGGCUCGCUGGGCCGGACCUGACGCUGAGAGACGAAAGCUAGGGGAGCGAAUGGG